rnacentral:lncRNA from 10 species
GCUGCUGAUGCUGGGACGGAAAUUGCAUGUAAAUGAUGGGGACGUUGGUGCUGGGGAAGUGCAGUGAAACUGGACAUGUUCAGCAUUUGUUCGUCCAAAUAUAAUUGCAGAUGUGUAACCACCUACAAGCACAGGAGAGUCCAUGCACAGAAGCCCAGAUCCCCAGCAGCCUCAUCUUCCCUUGAGCAAAACUUUUCUUCUCCAUCAUGAGAUGAAGGAACCCCAACCCCUCCAUCAGGUACUUUGAAGAUGUUUCCACUUCCCUUCGAAGAUGUUCAAUGUCCGUACAUAGAAUGAAAGGUGCCACCUUCUCCAGCAUGAGACAUAUCCCCAUGUGAUCCCUUACCACGCAGACUCCUGGCUGAGUUAGGAAGAAAGAAUAGAAGUCAAUGCAUUCCAUUUGUUUUCAAGGCACACCCAAAAAGUAUGAACUUAGAUAUAUCACAGAGCUUCCAAUUUACCUGCCUGUAUUUACAAAAUAAGUGUAUGAUUUCUCCCGAAACAUUAUUUUUUGCAAGUUACAUGCCAAUAACCACCACUGAACAUAAGCUGAUAUUUUUGCUGAAUGAAGGAUUGUGAAUUAUCCUUGUAGCUUUCUUUGACUUCAUUACACAUUUCAAUUACUUCUCUAAACACUGACUGCCGCCAUAAAAUAUCUUUAGUUCUUUUCCCCUAUGAAAUGUGCUGCCAAUAAUAAUAUUUUACUAGAAAAUAAUGCAAUAAAUUAGCAUGAUCACAACCUAGAAUUAUAUAAAAUAAUAUUUGCUUUGUAUUCAAGUGAACCUUUCCAUGGACAGAAACAAGCACCUUGUCAUAUUUUAAGUAAACAUUAAUUAUGAAAAACAAAUUAUUUGCAAGGAGGCAAUACAAAAGUGGACGCUGGAGUUCUAUGUUAGAGUAAAUAUCUGACAGAUUUAAUAUGGAACUUUCUUUUAAAGUCUUAAGUUUUCAGUGCUCUUAUUGGCAAAUGAUGUAUUAGACCUAGUAACGUAAAACACAAUGAAAUAGAUUGUAUCUACUGGAAACAUUAGUACUCAUUAGAUCUGAUAACUGUGAGUCUAAAUGUGAAAUCUCUACUUUAUGAAUUAUCACAGAUGGUAUUGUAGAUGAUGUCUUCACGCUCUUUUGCCAAAUAAACUCCUUAUUAAAGGAGGCCCUGAGGAUGAUUAAAACAAAAUUUAGGGCAAUGGUUGCAUUAGAGGAAAGCAAAGGAGGAGAAAAUUAGAGAAGUGCGCCCAGGAGGCAUGAGCAGUAUUCGUAAUGUUUUAUUUCCAAAUUAUACCUUAUGUGCACCACCAUUUGCUAUACUAUUCUUGAUAUCUAUAACAAGAUAUUAUGUGCGGAUUCUUUCAGGACUCAGAAAACGAUGGAUGGCAAGUACUCCCCCUUUCCAAAGUGAGGUGCUGACCACUGGUAAUGCAGUAAAUCUUGAGGGUAUCAAAGGAUUGAAAUGGAAGAGCCCUGAAAAUUGGACAUUAAAAAGGCAUUAAUUUCAAGAGCAUUUUCUCUGUCCUGUAAUUUCC